CUGAGAGCACAUCUACUCAAAUUUAAAAUUGGAAUGAUACAGAGAUUAGCAUGGUUCAUGUGCAAGGCUGGUUCAAAAAUCCAUGAAAUCUCCCAGACUGCU